UUUUUUUCUAUGCCCACUAGCUAUCGAAUAAUAGUGUUGGAAAAACAUAAUGUCUUCAAAUAGUACUGGAAAGGAACAAAAGCUUCAAAUUAUAUAAAGCUAUCGUUGCUUUAAAUGUCAUUUUAUUUUUCACAGAUUUGUAAAUUAUCCUUUUUUGAAUGAAAAAAGGUUUUUAUGGCUGGCAAUCAUUGAUUUCAUGGCCAGACAAAAUGAAACCCACUUUGUUUACAAGGUGCAAAAGUUUGCGAGAAGUUUUCAGCUGUUUAUUUAUUUGAUUGCUGAUUAUGGAAUUUCAACGCAUUUCGAUGGUGGAACACUGCACCGAGGAAUGUCCGAAACGGCGGCAGGUGGAAAGUUGCGGGAGGUGCAGGGAGGACAUGGAUGGAGGACCCAAGGCACUCGAUACCUCACCCACCCAAACCUUAUCCAACCUGGAGGCAGAGACCCCCCUCGGGGACCUGUGAAUACUCUCCAGCGCGCACUGUGGUGGGCAUCAUUGGCUGGUCCGCAUUAAUCACUUGAAUAUGCUAACAUUUCUCAGUGCCAUGUGUGGGGAGGGGGCGAGGAUAAAAGCCGCCAUUAAAAGACGCCGCACGUAAACAAUACGUCCGGAUGAGCUUAAAAUAAUAUAUUUA